UACAUAGGGGGCAAGCGUUGUUCGGAAUUACUGGGCGUAAAGGGCGCGUAGGCGGCCUUCUAAGUCGAACGUGAAAUCCCCGGGCUCAACCCGGGAACUGCGUCCGAUACUGGAAGGCUUGAAUCCGGGGGAGGGAUGCGGAAUUCCAGGUGUAGCGGUGAAAUGCGUAGAUAUCUGGAGGAACACCGGUGGCGAAGGCGGCAUCCUGGACCGGUAUUGACGCUGAGGCGCGAAAGCCAGGGGAGCAAACGGG
rnacentral:rRNA from 1 species